rnacentral:rRNA from 1 species
CAAUAGCGUAUAUUAAAGUUGUUGCGGUUAAAAAGCUCGUAGUUGGAUUUCUGCCUGAGGCAGCCGGUCCGCACUUAGUGCGUGUAUCUGGUUUGGUUUGGGCAUCCUCUUGGGGAUCGUUGCUGUGCUUAGUUGCAUGGUGCGGAAUUCAAGACGUUUACUUUGAGGAAAUUAGAGUGUUCACGGCAGGCAAGCGCCUUGAAUACAUUAGCAUGGAAUAAUAAUAUAGGAUCUAGGUUCUAUUUUGUUGGUUUCUAGAACUUGGAUAAUGAUUAAUAGGGAUAAUUGGGGCGAUUUGUAUUAACUCGUCAGAGGUGGAAUUCUUGGAUUGAGUUACGACAAACUACUGCGAAAGCAUUUGCCAAGGAUGUUUUCAUUGAUCAAGAACGAAAGUAUGGGGAUCGAAGACGAUCAGAU